CACAUGCAAGUCGAGCGGUAACAUUUCUAGCUUGCUAGAAGAUGACGAGCGGCGGACGGGUGAGUAAUACUUAGGAAUCUACCUAGUAGUGGGGGAUAGCUCGGGGAAACUCGAAUUAAUACCGCAUACGACCUACGGGAGAAAGGGGGCAACUUGUUGCUCUCGCUAUUAGAUGAGCCUAAGUCGGAUUAGCUAGAUGGUGGGGUAAAGGCCUACCAUGGCGACGAUCUGUAGCUGGUCUGAGAGGAUGAUCAGCCACACCGGGACUGAGACACGGCCCGGACUCCUACGGGAGGCAGCAGUGGGGAAUAUUGGACAAUGGGGGCAACCCUGAUCCAGCCAUGCCGCGUGUGUGAAGAAGGCCUUUUGGUUGUAAAGCACUUUAAGCAGUGAAGAAGACUCCAUGGUUAAUACCCAUGGACGAUGACAUUAGCUGCAGAAUAAGCACCGGCUAACUCUGUGCCAGCAGCCCGCGGUAAUACAGAGGGUGCAAGCGUUAAUCGGAAUUACUGGGCGUAAAGCGAGCGUAGGUGGCUUGAUAAGUCAGAUGUGAAAGCCCCGGGCUUAACCUGGGAACGGCAUCUGAUACUGUUAGGCUAGAGUAGGUGAGAGGAAGGUAGAAUUCCAGGUGUAGCGGUGAAAUGCGUAGAGAUCUGGAGGAAUACCGAUGGCGAAGGCAGCCUUCUGGCAUCAUACUGACACUGAGGUUCGAAAGCGUGGGUAGCAAACAGGAUUAGAUACCCU
rnacentral:rRNA from 1 species